UUACGGCCAUAUGACGUUGAAACACCGGUUUCCUUACGAUCACCGAAGUUAAGCAACGUCGAGUCUGAUCCGUACCUAGAUGGGUAACUGCUUAGGAAUACCAGGUGCAGCAAG